rnacentral:rRNA from 1 species
CAGGUUUACCUGUGUGACUGCGUACCUUUUGUAUAAUGGGUCAGCGACUUAUAUUCUGUAGCAAGGUUAACCGUAUAGGGGAGCCGUAGGGAAACCGAGUCUUAACCGGGCGUUAAGUUGCAGGGUAUAGACCCGAAACCCGGUGAUCUAGCCAUGGGCAGGUUGAAGGUUGGGUAACACUAACUGGAGGACCGAACCGACUAAUGUUGAAAAAUUAGCGGAUGACCUGUGGCUGGGGGUGAAAGGCCAAUCAAACCGGGAGAUAGCUGGUUCUCCCCGAAAGCUAUUUAGGUAGCGCCUCGUGAAUUCAUCUCCGGGGGUAGAGCACUGUUUCGGCUAGGGGGCCAUCCCGGCUUACCAACCCGAUGCAAACUGCGAAUACCGGAGAAUGUUAUCACGGGAGACACACGGCGGGUGCUAACGUCCGUCGUGAAGAGGGAAACAACCCAGACCGCCAGCUAAGGUCCCAAAGUCAUGGUUAAGUGGGAAACGAUGUGGGAAGGCCCAGACAGCCAGGAUGUUGGCUUAGAAGCAGCCAUCAUUUAAAGAAAGCGUAAUAGCUCACUGGUCGAGUCGGCCUGCGCGGAAGAUGUAACGGGGCUAAACCAUGCACCGAAGCUGCGGCAGCGACGCUGAUGCGUUGUUGGGUAGGGGAGCGUUCUGUAAGCCUGCGAAGGUGGCCUGUGAGGGUUGCUGGAGGUAUCAGAAGUGCGAAUGCUGACAUAAGUAACGAUAAAGCGGGUGAAAAGCCCGCUCGCCGGAAGACCAAGGGUUCCUGUCCAACGUUAAUCGGGGCAGGGUGAGUCGACCCCUAAGGCGAGGCCGAAAGGCGUAGUCGAUGGGAAACGGGUUAAUAUUCCCGUACUUGGUGUUACUGCGAAGGGGGGACGGAGAAGGCUAUGUUGGCCGGGCGACGGUUGUCCCGGUUUAAGCGUGUAGGUGUGUGUUCCAGGUAAAUCCGGUUCACUUUAACACUGAGGCGUGACGACGAGGCACUACGGUGCUGAAGCAACAAAUGCCCUGCUUCCAGGAAAAGCCUCUAAGCAUCAGGUAACAUCAAAUCGUACCCCAAACCGACACAGGUGGUCAGGUAGAGAAUACCAAGGCGCUUGAGAGAACUCGGGUGAAGGAACUAGGCAAAAUGGUGCCGUAACUUCGGGAGAAGGCACGCUGACACGUAGGUGAAGUGAUUUACUCAUGGAGCUGAAGUCAGUCGAAGAUACCAGCUGGCUGCAACUGUUUAUUAAAAACACAGCACUGUGCAAACACGAAAGUGGACGUAUACGGUGUGACGCCUGCCCGGUGCCGGAAGGUUAAUUGAUGGGGUCAGCGCAAGCGAAGCUCCUGAUCGAAGCCCCGGUAAACGGCGGCCGUAACUAUAACGGUCCUAAGGUAGCGAAAUUCCUUGUCGGGUAAGUUCCGACCUGCACGAAUGGCGUAAUGAUGGCCAGGCUGUCUCCACCCGAGACUCAGUGAAAUUGAACUCGCUGUGAAGAUGCAGUGUACCCGCGGCAAGACGGAAAGACCCCGUGAACCUUUACUAUAGCUUGACACUGAACAUUGAGCCUUGAUGUGUAGGAUAGGUG